rnacentral:tRNA from 1 species
AGAGUUGUAGUCUAAACUAUGACAUAUGAUUUGCACUCAUAAGAUGUUUACUUGUAAACCAGCUUUA